UGUGCCUUCACGCCCCAAAGCGGUAAACGUAACAGAUCACGGAGCCAAGCUCUUUUGGGAAUGGCCGCAGGAUCCGAGGUACCACAUCACACGUUUCACCAUAACAGUCGAUGGCCAGCAGACCGUGCAAACUACGGAGCCUCAGCUGACUCUCGAAAACCUUGCCGCAUGGAAGCCCUACAAAAUAGGUGUCGCCUCUUGCGUAAACGAGACCUAUUGUGGUCAGGAAGGCACGCUGCUGGUGCAUACAGACAUCGGUGCACCCUCCGAACCAUUGAACCUCACCGUCGAUUCGUGGGGCACUCACUGGAUCCUUGCACGGUGGGAGGAGCCGAAUGUUCUGAACGGACCACUUAGCGGCUACAAUGUGAGCUUCAGAGACGACGCUACGCACUUCGAAGCAACGACUACUCAGUUGUCGUACAACUACACGGGUGCCGUUCCAGGGACUGUGUACGAAGGUGACCGUGUACGCAUUCAAUGAGGCGAAAAGGAGUGACAAAGCAUGGACCAUCCGCUUCACUGUUUACUUCGCGGAGAGAUGACCCUCUGAGCAUGGCGUCUCUAACAACAACGAGAAUUCUUUUGGCUUCGCUUGGAGCUGUCACGUUAGCCCUCGUAGUGGUGUGUGUUGUGCUUCACAGGAAGUGCCCCGUAACAAGUACAUUUUAUAGCACAGUCAUUGAACAUGAGCGAGAACAUCCCAGAGAAGGACGUAGAAAUAAACUGGCGCAUACUUGAGAGCCUUUCACAUGGGAGCCGAAUGUUGAGAAGAAUGUUCGGAUUGAAAGGAAGCGGUGGAAUUUGAGUACGGACCGACUGUGAAUCGUGUGAGAUUAAAUCGAUGAUUACUUGCUGCAAUAAACAAGCAUCAACGUUCCUUCA